GCCAAUCCUGUAGUCGUGCGCAAGGCAAACGGGAAAUGGAGGCUUUGCAUCGACUUUACCGAUGUUAAUAAAGCUUGUCCCAAAGACCCAUUUCCCUUGCCACGCAUUGACCAGAUUGUUGACUCCACGGCCGGAUGUAACUUGCUUUCAUUUCUUGACGCAUACUCAGGAUACCAUCAAAUCUUCAUGACAGAAGAGGAUGAGGAGAAGACCGCAUUCAUCACUCCAUGUGGCACGUACUGUUUCAUACGGAUGCCUUUCGAUUUAAAAAAUGAUGGUUCAACAUUUGCAAGGGUAGUCCAUGUCGCCCUUGAGCCACAAAUACACAGAAAUGUGGAAGCCUACAUGGAUGACAUAGUGGUCAAGAGCAAGGACAAGGCAACUCUGAUUCAAGAUUUAGACGAGACCUUUGCAAAUCUGCGCAAGAUCAGC
rnacentral:rRNA from 1 species